rnacentral:lncRNA from 1 species
AAGACAGGUAGACUUUCAGGAGGGGGAUCUGGUAUUGCUCAAGGUGUCUCCUAUGAAAGGAGUGGUUCGCUUUGGGAAGAAAGGUAAACUAGCUCCACGAUACAUCGGACCCUUUGAAAUCUUGCAAAAGAUUGGGAAUGUGUCGUACAAGCUGGAUUUACCUGCUUCUAUGGAAAGAAUCCAUCCGGUUUUCCAUGUUUUCAUGUUGAGGAAGUUUGUGUCAGAUCCAGGCAAGGUUCUUAGUGAGCCUGAUGUGGAGAUCCAAGAGGAUCUCACUUAUGUUGAGCAGCCAGUACGGAUCAUAUACACCCAGAUCACGAAGCUGAGAAAUAAGGAAAUCCCAAUGGUGAAAGUCCUGUGGAACCACCACAAUUUGGAAGAAUGCACUUGGGAGACACGGGAGUCCAUGCUCCAGCAAUACCCUUAUCUUUUCUAAGGUUAGUUCCUUGUGAGUUCUUGUGCUUGUAUGUAUGUUUUGUUUAUGCCAUGCUAUGUGUUAGUUGGUGAACAUUCGGGGACGAAUGUUCUUAAGGGGGGGAGAAUGUAAUACCCGGCUAGACUCCGGUAUCGGAAUUCCUACCGUCCGGUGGAAUCUCGGAUGUCGGAAGCCUCUGGUAGGGUAGAAACAUGUUUUCAUAAAAUGUUUUAAUGUAUUUCAUGAUUUUAAGUAAAAGAAAAUGAGUUUUUGCAUGAAAACAACCUUGGAGGAAAACUCAGGUUCGGCCGCCGAACCUCAAGUUCGGCCGCCGAACAUGCAUGCACUUCGGGAGUGCUUUAGGCCCCCGAAAGCAUAAAUGAGGGAAGUCCAGGUUCGGCCGCCGAACCUCAAGUUCGGCCGCUAAACAUGGCAUGCAUGCGAAGGCACUUUCGGCUCCCGAACGUGGCCUGGCCAGCCACCUAUAAAGGGGUCCCUUAGCCGAAAACGGGCGAGUUUUUCUCCCCAUUUUCAGCCAAGGUGAGCUCUCCGCCAUCCCUCAUCGGUUUUGGGUUCCUUCCUUCAAAUCUUUCUCGAUUUUUAUUAGUUUUACCCUUGUUUUGAAGAUUUUGAGCUUUUGAGCAAGUUUUGGAGCUUGGAGGUUCAAGGAACUCUCUCUCUCCCAUUUUCAGAGCUAGGGUCGUCCACCUCUCGAUCUUCAAGAGGUAAGAGCCGAUCUUGAGCUUAUGGCAUAUUUUAAGUAAGUUUUAAGUAGAUCUAUGGGGUAGAAUGCAUGUUUAGCUCAUGGUUAGGUUUAUGGGUUUAUGUUAUGUUUUUGGACUAUGUGGAUGCUUGAUGUGUUGUAGAUGGGGUUUAAGAUAGUUUGAUGCCCCUAGGAACUGGUAUGCUUGAGUAUGUAUGUUGUAGAUUAGGAAAAUGCAUGUUUGGUUGGUUUUGGGAGGCAAAUGUGCAUGAGGAACCAAGUUUCUGCCCUUUGGCAGAAACCAGGUUCGGCAGCCGAAGGACUUUCGGCCGCCGAACUUGCCUGGGAGGCAAGCCUUUCGGCUGCCGAAGCCUGCCCCCGAAAGAGGACUUUCGUCUUUGGAGGGCAGUUUCGGCCGCCGAAAGUGCCGCCGAACAUGCACGAGUUUCAUCUCUGUCUGGGAGUUUCGACCGCCGAAGGUGCCGCCAAACCUGCCUGACUUUCGGCUCUGGAGGGACUUUCGGCCGCCGAACCUGCCGCCGAAAGUGCCCUGUCCAGCCUUCCUUUGCAUGUUUUUCUAUGAUUGUUUCUCGAUGUUUUAGGGGGUUUUUAGGGAGUAGUUUAGAGUUAUGUUCAUGUAUGUUUGGUCCCUCAUUUGAGUCCACCUGUGUAGGUUCGGACCCGAGGAACCGAGGACCCCAGCAGUGAGUCAGCUACUCCAGUGUCUGGUCAGAGCUAUCCAGAGGUGAGUGGAAUAACUCAUUACGUUUUGAAAGCAAAUAAAUGGACAUUUUAGCAUGAUUCACGCAUCAUUAAUGCCAUGAGAUAUACUAGGUUGUUGCAUUAGAAUUUACGAAUAUGUUGCAUUGCAUACUCUAUUGUUGUUGUUGUGGAUGAAUGUUGGAUGAUCCAUAGCCCUCGAUCUAUGAUGUGACGAUGUGAUAUGUACGGUACGGAAUGUAAGACCAGUGGGACCCAUUCUACGUUCGCUGGCACUAUGUAAGAGAAAGACCAGGACCCAUUCUACGUUCUGGCACAUUGGAAUGUUAUGUUAUGCCAUGUAAGAGAAAGACCAGGACCCAUUCUACGUUCUGGCACAGUUGGACUAUGUAGAGGACUAAUGGUGACGACUUCAUCCUUGAUGUGAUUAGCUGUGAUGUGAUGCAUUGCAUGUUAUCAUAUGUUUUGAAUGUUCUAUUAUUCUGCUCACUGGGCUCUAGUAGCUCACCCCUCUCCCUAAUUCCCCAGGUUUGUAGGUACAGGGUAGACCAGGAGGUCCGCAAAAGUAAUGAAGUCAUGUGUUUGUAAUAGAUAGAGUGUGGACAUGAUAAAUUGUAAAAUGAUGUAAAGUUAUGAAUAGUAAUGCAUGUAAUGAUAUUGAGGAUUAGAGAUUGUGCUUGACCCAAUGUGUAAGGUAUCCCUUUUUAUACAUGAUCUUAGAUGUUUGUGAUGUUUAUGUAAACCAACUCAUCAUAUAUUGUAUCGCCCAUUGGGGCAUUGAUGAGAUCCCACAGAGAGGUCAUGGUUAUGAUUAUGACUAUGUACAGUGCAUGCACAUGUUGAGUUUGGUGUAUGAAUGAAAGUAAAAGUUUUAAAUUUUUAUGUAUGUUGUCGAUCAUGUAUGGGAUUAAGCAGGUUCACAGGAUGUAUAUUAGGCUUGCUACGGGUCCCGGCGGCCUUAAGCCGACCUGGAUCCUAGCUCCGGUAGCGGUCCGAUUUUCGGGUCGUUACAAUAAGUGUGGUGGAAUGAUAAAAUAAACAAUUAAUUUAAAAGCUUAAUUAAAGGUAAUCAUAGUUGAUAAGUUUAGUGUUUGAUCAAUGAUUCCAAAGGUAAUUCACUUAAUUUUUCAUUAUUUGGUUAUAGUGUUCAAACAAGUGUAUCUCACCAAUUCUUUUUUAAUAUUAAAUUAAUUCGCAAAGUGUUAAAUUAAUUUCUAAUUAAUUAACAAUCUCAACAAGUGUGUAGAUUUAAUAAUUAAUUGUUUUAAGAAAAGAAGAACUGAAACUUGAUUAAUAAUUGCAAGCGAAUUAUUUAAACCAAAUCAAUUAAUUUCUUAAUAUAGAUAGAUAUGCUAAUUGCUAUUUGUAUUAACCUAAUUAAAUAUUUAUGUAUUUACUUGAGUUAAUUAGCAAUAUUGAUAAGUUGCAAAACUCACCGCUUUUUCAUAUUAAUUUUCAUGACUUUGCUAGGAUUUUGAUAUAAACAAUUGGUUCUUACUUGGAUUUUGAUUUUGGAAAGAUUUUAAGCUAAAAAUAAGAAAAGGAAUCAAAAGAGACUGUUUUAGAGCUAUUUCUGACUAGAAGGUAUAGUCUUGCUUAAGGCUGUGAUCCAAGCUCGACAAACAAAUUGUAGGAUUUUUGUUAUGCCAGCUGUACAGAGUUCAAAACUGUUUCAGAUAGCUACAAAUACAAUCAGAUCAGGAUCAUGAUAAGAAUCAUAGUAGGAGUAGUAGAUUUAUUUUAUCUUUUUCUUUUUAAAUUUUUAAUAGUUAUCUUUUUAUGUGGGAAAAACCUAUAUAAAGGCUACUCUAGAAGUAGAAAAUCAUCUCUUCUCAUCAUCUUUACACUCUCCUUUCGAUUCCUCUUUAGCCGCACCCUAGUUCUCCUUUUAUUUUUCUGCAAUUUUUGUUAUGAACCUUUGUUAGUUAAAAGUUAAUUAACUUGAGAUUUAUUUAAAAUUGUGAGAUAUGGUCUUAAUUUCUAUUUUCAAAUUUUUAUUUAUUUUCGAGAAAUACCAUUUUCAUUGUUGUCCUUUUAGGAAUUCAAGAGACCUAUCGAAUCUCCUAGGAAGACAACAUACUGCUAAUUAGUCCAAGUAAAUACGUAAUUGUUUAAUUGGAUUAAUACAAGUAGCAAUUAGCAUAUUCGUUUAUAUUAAAAAAUUAAUUAAUUUAGUUUAAAUAAUUCGCUUACUAUUAUUGAUCAAGUUUAGGUUCUUUUUUCUUAUAAAAGUUAAUUAAUUAAAUCUAUGCACUUGAUAGAAUUAUUAAUUAAUUAGAAAUUAAUUUAAGCGCUACGCGGAUUAAUUUAAUCUUAAGGAAGAAUUAGUGGAAUUCGCUUGUUUGAACACUAUAACUAAACAAUGGACAAUUAAAUAAACCAUCUCUUGAAUCAAUGAUCAAUUGCAAGAUUCUGAAUUUUGAUUACCUUCAGCUGAGUUUUUUAAUUUGAUUAUUUAUUUCAUUGUACAAUCGCAUUAUUUUCUUUAAGUUUUUUCUUUCUUUCUUAAAAUCAACUUCUCCAAUAGCAAUUUUUUUCUUCUCUUUUUUUAUUUUCAAUAUUUCUUCUUUUUCUCACUUGUCAUAAGAAUUAAAUUUGAGGUCUCUAUGGGGUCGAUACUUAUUUACUCUAUCUACAAAAUCUAUUAAAUCAAGAAAAGAGGAAUCAAUUUUAAUUGAUGGAUUCAACACCCGCCAAAUUUUGGUGCCGUUGUCGGGAACCUCUAACAAUUUAUUUUUAUUUUUAUGAUCAAGUUUGAAAAUAGUAGAAUCCAGUUUGAUUAAGAAAUCAAGAAGACUGCAAAAUGGUUGAGAAAAACAACUAAAUUGCAAAAAGAAGCCAAUUCGGAAGCCUCCCAACCACCUACCCAAACACCUCUACAUGAGAACACCGAAGACUCCAUGUCUUCAAGACCACCCGAACAUACAGUUGAGUCCAAGGAAGAGAAAUGAUGGACGCAGCUGUUGUCGAAGAGAAAAAUCUUUGCAUUAUAUAACUAGUGUUAAACGCGGCCCUGGAAUUGUGAACAAGUAUGAUUCACAUGUUACCAAAAUUUCAAGAAUUGGAGAAUGAAGACCCAUAUCGCUAUCUGAAAGAAUUUUACGUGGUUUGUUAAAGUAUGAGACCACAGGAGAUAACUGACGAAUGAAUCAGGUUAGCAGCCUUUCCUUUUACUAUGAUUGAAUUUGCUAAAGAUUGGCUUUAGUCUUUGCCCCCAGGUUCAAUUACCACUUGGGUGCAAAUUAGAGAUUUAUUUUUAGAAAGAUUUUUUUCAGCAACUAAAGUUUCAUCUAUAAGAAAAGGAAAUAAGUGGAAUCAAACAAACAAAAAAAAUGAAAUGCUCCAUGAAUAUUGAGAACAUUAUAAAAAAUUGAUUACAAGGUAUCCAAAACAUGGAAUCACCCCAAAAAAACUCAACCUUCACAUAUGAAGUAUUGUCACCACUAGAAAGAAGAAUAAUAGAUGCUACUAAUGGAGAUGCUAUUUCAAAAAUGAAACCUGAAGAAGGUAAAAUUUAAUCUCAAAAAUAGUUGCCAACUUUAGACAGUAUGGCCAAGAUGAGGACAUUCUUAAGAAUGCAAAUGACACAGAUAUCGCAUCUUUAGAUUCUAAAAUUUCACAACUUACCGCUGCAAUGCAACAAUUGGCUGUAGAAAAUAAGGACUUAUGGAAUUUACAAAAAAGCCGACCAUCCCACAGAUAUGUGUCCCACCCUUCAGGAAGAUAAGCAAUAGGUAAAUACAAUUAGAGGAUUCAAUGGAUAACAAAGGAAGUAUGAUCCAUUUUCGAAUACGUACAAUCCGGGAUGGAGAGAUCAUCCGAACCUUAGCUAUGGGAAUAGACGACAAUAAUUUCAGCCAAGAGCAAAUUAUCAAGCUACAAAAGCAGGUAUAUCUCUAGAAGACAUUGUGCAAUUCUUGCUAAUAGCACCCUUACUUUUCAAUAGGAAACGAAGUCGAGCAUACAAAAUUUGGAGAACCAAGUGAGCCAACUUCCUAUAUCAAUAAGUAAGUUGGAAUCUCAAGGGAAACUGCCCUCCCAAAUCGUGCCAAACCCAAAACAAAAUGCAAGUGCAAUUACACUACAAAGUGGAAAAGAAUUGAAACUAUAGGCUUGCCCAACGCAGUGUGACAGACCUGAUGCCAGAAGCAGAAUUGAAGAUUCUAGCAGAGAACUAGCCCCAAAAUUCAGAGGUAGAAUAACCCCUAAUUUAGGUAAUACAUCAUCUUUUUUCCUGAAAGACUUGCUCAAUCCAAAAGGGAAAAGGAAGAAAAAGACAUCUUGUAGAUUUUUCGCAAAGUGCAGGUAAACAUACCCUUCUUGAAACUAUAAAGAAAAUACCCAGGUAUGCAAAAUUUUUAAAAGAUCUUUGCAGCAUGAAAAAUAAAAGUAGGUGAGAAUGUGUCAGCAGUGCUUCAAAGAAAAAUUCCACAAAAAUGUCAAGAUAAAGGCAUGUUUGCAAUAUCAUGUAAAAUUGAUAACCUUAAAGUUAAGAAGGCAAUGUGUGAUUUAGGAGUUUUCAUAAAUGUUAUGCCUCUAUCUGUUUAUUUGUCUUUGGAUACAAGUCCUUUAAAAUGAACAAGAGUCACACUCUAACUCGCCGAUAGACCAAUAGUAUACUCUAAGGGUGUGUUGGAGGAUAUUUUGGUUCAAGUAGGAAAAUUAAUUUUUCCAGUAGACUUUUUCAUCUUAGACAUAGAAGAUGAAAGUUCAUCCAAUUCCACCGAUUUGUUGCUAGGGAGACCAUUCCUUAGCAUGACUAGAAUGAAGAUAGACGUGCAUGAAGGCACGCUCAUGAUGGAGUUUGACGGAGAAGAGGUAAAAUUGAAUGUCUAUGAUAUAAUGAAGUAUCCUGAUGAUAAUUUUUCUCUUUGCAACAUAGAUAUUGUUGAUCCUCUCGCUCAAGAAGCAUUUGAACUAAGCAAGGAAGACAAGUUGGAGGUAGUUCUAACCAAAAACUUGACCUUGCACUUCCUUGACAAUAGCACAUGUCAACUCAAUGAGGAGAUCGUAGAAACAGUAUGCUCAUUGGACACCUUGAGCCACAAGGCACUAUAACUUGAGUUAAAAACACUUUCAGCUCAUUUGAAAUAUGUAUUUUUAAGGAGUAAUAACACACUUUCGAUCAUAAUCUCCUCCAAGUUGAAUCCUUUAAAAGAAAAGAAGUUGAUUUAGGUGUUGAAUGAAUACGAAGAUGGAAGUGGUUGUAGAAGGGAAAUUAAUGAAGCCUAACAUGCCACUGAUAGCGGUUGUCGAAGCCGUAAAAAAUAAACCUAUUAUCAAUCAACAAAUAACUUAUAGAUAGUGGCAAUAGGGUCGAACCACUGGGAUUUUGUAACAGCCCGGCCCUUUCACCGGCACUGUUAUCGUUCACGACCCAAGGCUAUCCCUCGCUGGCCUCUUGCCACCUCGGGCUUUCCACUGCCGUCGUGAACAGCUCUUAACAUCCAUUCACCCUCACGGGUUCCUGGCAGGAUUUUUCCCCUUGGGUUCUCGCAUCGCAUCCUUCCCCAAGUGGAUUUGGCCCAUGGACUGCAGGGACAAGGUAGUCAGGUUCAGAGGUCAGGAUGGGUCUGAGGUAGUCUUCAGAGGAGACAGGAGGGGUACACCUAGAGGUCUGAUAUCAGCUCUUCAGGCUCGUAGGUUGCUUAGGAAGGGAUGUCAGGGGUAUUUGGCUCAUGUGAGAGAGCUUAGCAGUCAGGUUAGAGAGCCCGCCUCGGUGCAGGUGGUCAGAGAGUUUUUGGAUGUGUUCCCAGAUGAACUGCCAGGUUUACCACCUGCUAGGGAGAUAGAGUUCGAGAUAGAACUGAUGCCUGGAACCCGAACGAUCUCUAUCCCUCCUUACAGGAUGGCACCAGCAGAGUUGAAGGAAUUGAAAGAACACUUGCAAGAGCUGGUAGACAAGGGCUUCAUCCGACCGAGUACCUCACCCUGGGGAGCUCCAGUCUUGUUUGUCAGAAAGAAGGAUGGAUCCCUUAGACUUUGUAUUGACUACAGGCAGUUGAACAAAGUCACUACCAAGAAUAAGUACCCGUUGCCUAGGAUCGACGAUCUAUUUGACCAGCUAGCCGGAGCAGGUUGUUUCUCCAAAAUAGAUCUGAGAUUGGGGUACCAUCAGCUAAGGAUAAGGGAAGAAGAUUUGCCGAAGACAGCUUUCAGGACCAGAUAUGGGCAUUUUGAGUUUCUUGUAAUGUCGUUCGGGUUAACCAACGCCCCUGCAGCAUUCAUGGAUCUCAUGAACAGAGUAUUUAGCCAAUACCUGGAUCACUUUGUUAUUGUCUUCAUAGAUGAUAUCUUAGUGUAUUCCAGGAAUGCAGAGGAGCAUGCCCAUCAUCUGAGGUUGGUUCUACAGACCUUGAGGGAACAUGGCUUGUAUGCCAAGUUCUCUAAGUGUGAGUUCUGGCUGAGGAGCAUUUCAUUCUUGGGGCAUGUGGUGUCAGAAAAUGGGAUAGAAGUGGACCCCAAGAAGACAGAAAUUGUGGCUAACUGGCCUAGACCCACUUCAGUGACAGAAAUUAGGAGUUUCUUGGGUUUGGCAGGUUACUACAGAAGGUUCGUUCAGGACUUCUCGAAAAUAGCAGCUCCUUUGACCAGACUAACUAGGAAGAAUCAGAAGUUUGUGUGGACCGACCAGUGCGAAGAGAGUUUUGAAGAGCUUAAGAAGAGGUUGACUUCAGCACCAGUGUUAGCUCUGCCAUCUAGUGAUGAGGACUUUACAGUCUUCUGUGAUGCGUCCCGUGUGGGACUGGGUUGUGUACUAUUGCAGAAUGAGAGGGUGAUUGCUUAUGCUUCUAGGCAGCUGAAGAAGCAUGAGUUGAAUUACCCCACACAUGACCUUGAGAUGGCAGCAGUAAUCUUUGCACUCAAGAUGUGGAGGCACUACCUCUAUGGGGUAAAAUGUGAGAUCUUUACAGAUCAUAAGAGCCUGCAGUACAUCCUGAGUCAAAGAGAUUUGAACUUGAGGCAGAGAAGGUGGGUAGAGCUGCUGAGUGAUUAUGAUUGCAAGAUUCAGUAUCAUCGGGUAAGGCGAACGUCGUGGCAGACGCCCUAAGCCGGAAGUCACUAGGCAGUCUAUCCCACAUCACGGCUGAGAGGAGACCAGUGGUAAAGGAGUUUUACAAGCUUAUUGAUGAAGGUCUAUAGUUGGAGUUGUCUGGUACCGGUGCUUUAGUGGCCCAGAUGAGAGUGACACCUGUGUUUCUGGAGCAGGUGGCUCAGAAACAGCAUGAGGAUCCAGAGUUAGUGAAGAUUGCCAGGACUGCUCAGUCAGGCAAAGAUAGUGAGUUCAGAUUUGACAAUAAGAGAAUCCUCCGCAAUGGGAGCAGACUUUGUGUACCAGAUGACAUAGGGCUAAAGGGAGACAUUAUGAGGGAGGCUCAUAAUGCAAGAUACAUCGUUCACCCCAGAGCCACCAAGAUGUGUCAAGAUCUGAGGAAAGUUUAUUGGUGGCCAGCGAUGAAGAAAGAAGUGGCACAGUUUGUGUCAGCCUGCGAAGUGUGUCAGAGGGUGAAGCUGGAACAUCAGAAGCCGGCUGGAAUGCUUAACCCGCUACCUAUCCCAGAGUGGAAAUGGGAGAAUAUAGCUAUGGACUUAAUAGUGGGGUUACCGGCGACGUCCAACAGAUUGGACUCCAUAUGGGUGAUUGUGGACAGACUCACCAAAUCUGCUCACUUCAUCCCUGUCAGGAGUGGCUAUUUUGUGGACAAGUUGGCGCAGGUGUAUGUUGAUGAAAUCGUCAGGCUGCAUGGGAUUCCUGUUUCAAUAGUGUCCGAUAGAGGGCCCCAGUUCACCUCCAGAUUUUGGCAGAGUCUGCAGAACGCCAUGGGUACCAGGUUGGAAUUUAGCACUGCUUUCCAUCCACAGACGGAUGGACAAUCAGAAAGGACCAUCCACACCAUAGUGGAUAUGCUUAGAAUGUGUGUGCUGGACUUUGGCGGUUCUUGGAGGCAGCAUCUACCCUUGGUGGAGUUUGCCUACAAUAACAGCCAUCAUGCUAGCAUCGGGAUGGCCCCAUAUGAAGCUUUGUAUGGAAAGAAGUGCAGAUCACCUGUUUGCUGGGAAGAAGUUGGAGAAAAGGCCUUGGCAGGGCCUGAGCUAGUAGAGAUUACCAGCAGGGUAGUACCCAUAAUCAGAGAAAGAAUCAAGACUAUUGCAAGUAGACAGAAGAGUUAUGCAGACAUCCGCAGAAGACAGGUAGAGUUUCAGGAGGGGGAUCUGGUAUUGCUCAAGGUGUCUCCAAUGAAAGGAGUGGUUCGGUUCGGAAAGAAAGGUAAACUGGCUCCACGAUACAUCGGACCCUUUGAAGUCUUGCAAGGGAUUGGGAAUGUGUCGUACAAGCUGGAUUUACCUACUUCAAUGGAAAGAAUCCAUCUGGUUUUCCAUGUUUCAAUGUUGAGGAAGUUUGUGUCAGAUCCGAGCAAGGUUCUUAGUGAGCCUGAUGUGGAGGUCCAAGAGGAUCUCACCUAUGUUGAACAGCCAGUACGGAUCAUAGACACCCAGAUCAGAAAGCUAAGAAACAAGGAAAUCCCGAUGGUGAAAGUCCUGUGGAACCACCAUAAUUUGGAAGAAUGCACUUGGGAGAC